rnacentral:rRNA from 1 species
UACGGGGGGGGCAAGCGUUGUCCGGAUUUAUUGGGCGUAAAGAGCGUGUAGGCGGCCAGGUAGGUCUGCUGUGAAAACCCGAGGCUCAACCUCGAGACGUCGGCGGAAACCAUCUGGCUAGAGUCCGGAAGAGGAGAGUGGAAUUCCUGGUGUAGCGGUGAAAUGCGCAGAUAUCAGGAAGAACACCCGUGGCGAAGGCGGCUCUCUGGGACGGUACUGACGCUGAGACGCGAAAGCGUGGGGAGCGAACAGG